AUGCUUGGUUCAGUGGGCCCAGGUUCCCAGCCUGUGCUGACUCAGCCACCAUACAUCUCUGCAUCCCCUGGACCAACAGCCAGACUCACCUGCACCCUGAGCAGUGACCUCAGUGUUAGUAGUAAAAGCAUGUAUUGGUACCAGCAGAAGCCAGGGAGCCCUCCUCAGCUCUACCUGCACUACUACUCGGACUCAAGCAAGCAACUGGGGCCAGGCAUCCCCAAUAGAUUCUCUGGAUCCAAAGAUACUUCAACCAAUGCAGCAUUUUUGCACAUUUCUGGGCUCCAGCCUGAGUAUGAGGCCAAUUACUACUCUCAAGUGUAUCAAAGCAGUGCUAUCACAGUGGUACAGAAAGAUGAGGAAGUGGGACAAAAACCCUCAGCCCCUAAAAUUCUGAGCUUAUGUCACUUUUACUAG